UGGGGAAUAUUGCACAAUGGGCGCAAGCCUGAUGUAGCCAUGCCGCGUGUAUGAAGAAGGCCUUCGGGUUGUAAAGUACUUUCAGCGGGGAGGAAGGGAGUAAAGUUAAUACCUUUGCUCAUUGACGUUACCCGCAGAAGAAGCACCGGCUAACUCCGUGCCAGCAGCCGCGGUAAUACGGAGGGUGCAAGCGUUAAUCGGAAUUACUGGGCGUAAAGCGCACGCAGGCGGUUUGUUAAGUCAGAUGUGAAAUCCCCGGGCUCAACCUGGGAACUGCAUCUGAUACUGGCAAGCUUGAGUCUCGUAGAGGGGGGUAGAAUUCCAGGUGUAGCGGUGAAAUGCGUAGAGAUCUGGAGGAAUACCGGUGGCGAAGGCGGCCCCCUGGACAAAGACUGACGCUCAGGUGCGAAAGCGUGGGGAGCAAACAGG
rnacentral:rRNA from 1 species